AUCUAGAGUUCCAUAUAGUUUUGAGACAAUACUUAUUGUGCAGAUUGUAAAUUAAAAUUUACAUUUAUAGAUUGACCUCAUGUAGGAGAGGAAGACCUUCUGGCUGACUACCUUGAUUUGUCAAUUUGGUGUGGAAUUCUUGUCUGCUCUUCUACUUGCUGAAAGGGUAACCCUAAGUUGAAUAUUCAAGUUCAUGUUCAUGGUCAAUUUGGUUUAUUUUAUGUUUUAUGUGUGUGAAUGAUGCUUUGAUUCGAGCAUUUUCUUCUUUUUUCUUAUGUUGUUCCUUAGGCCUUCUUUGUGACUGCUUCUCUUGUUUCUUCUUCUCUUGUGCUUGUAGUCUCAUUUCGAUGUACUGUUGCAACUCACUUCUCAUUCCCAGCAACAAGCAUGAAGACGCAAUCUCAAAGGGGCAAUGAGUUCACAUCCAGAAGAAUUGAAGAUAUUUUAUCACCCCUAAUGUUAUUAGGGGUCAAUUAUUUCAGUAGGAAAUUAAUUUUUGAUUAUGGCAUUUACAUUUGCAUUAUGGUGUUUGUUUCAUAAUGGUGAACAAUACUUUGUAUUGAACUUUUUUAUGUUACGAAAUUUUAUUGUAAUUUA